rfam:Solenopsis invicta Si_gnG.contig04896, whole genome shotgun sequence.
UUUAAAUGAUGAAAACUCUUGGUCCGUGUUUCUGAUUAAUCAAUGAUUAAUUUUAUAACCAUUAUCUGACAAA